UUUCCGUAGGUGAACCUGCGGAAGGAUCAUUAACAGGUUUCUCCAGGGACGGGUCAAACCAUUCCCCGGAAACCUCCCUCCCUUUCUAUUAUUAUUUGUUGCUGUGGUGGGCCGUGCGAGCGCCUAGCCGAUCAGCACCGGCUUUUGCUGGACAGCGUAUGCCAGAGGACCCAACUCUGUUAUCUAUGUCGUCAGAUUACUAUUUAAUAGUUAAAACUUUCAACAACGGAUCUCUUGGUUCUG
rnacentral:misc_RNA from 1 species